rnacentral:lncRNA from 1 species
GAUAUGUUGUAUUUGUUUUGUAGAGGUGGAAUCGAUAAUGCCGAUUCAUCCAUGGUGGUAAUUUGUCAUCAUCGAAACCUAUGAUCGUAUGUUAUAUGACAGUUUGCCCUUACAUCCAUGACCUUGGAUCCAAGCAAGGAAAUAUCUUUCCACCAAUGUGAGUGUUGGUGUAAGCCCUAGAGACCAAUACUUUUGGUACUUGUAUUGAAUUAUUUAUUAAUAAUAAAAGGCUUU